CAAUGUCAAUGUGAACCAAUGUCACACAUUAAAAAAAAUAAUAUUAUUAAUUUUUUAAUAACAUUAUAAUAACCUAUCCUAACCUAAAAAAAUCGGAAAUAGUAGACAUUGAAAAUUGACUUGACAUAUUCAUUCUUCAUCUGAAAAACUUAAACCGAUCUUUUGAAAGCAUCACUCUUUAAAGACACAACUCAUCAAACGAAAGAAAGCUGACCAUGGACGCACUUGAACUCUCUGUCUGGGCAUAUUUUUUCGCCUGUAGAGUAUCUUAUAGUGGCUUUCCGAAUAUGGAUUAAUCUGCAAAGUUAUUUAAGAAGUUUACUGGUUACAGAGGCGAUUUAAUUCAAAAUCAGUAACCGACAGUAUAGCAAGCACCAGACGUGGAAGUGACAA
rnacentral:sRNA from 1 species